UUAGCUUUAAUUUAUAUUAACUUACUUUAUUGAAUUUUUAACUUUUUGGACAUCUUAAUCCAUUUUUUUUAUAUCAUAUAUCUUUGUUAUUUCCAAAAUUUAAUUUUCAUAUGAUAAAAAUGUUAAUCUGUUGAUCGAAAUUAGUUUAGGUUCUAAAAAUUAAUGGAACUAUCUUUUUUUUUUUUUAUAAUUAGGUGCGAUGUUUAUUAAUCUUAGCAUAUGUUUAAUAUUCUACGAACAAAACGAAUUAAAAAUUCUAACAAUAUAUGCAAAUCUGAUACAACACGAAUGAAAAUAUCGCGCUUAAAAGUUCUGUUUGUUAUAUUGUACGGGGAUUCCCUCAAUUCUCGAAUCGUGUUGUAAGGAGAUUACACCGAUUUUCAAACUAUAUUGUAGGAAUAUCGCGUUAUAAGGGAUUUGCUUAUAUUUGUAAUAAAAUCUAUGGUAUACUUUAGUCAAUCCCCGUACUAAAAAGAUCGACAAUCGAAUGUUAAUUAGCUUCAAUAUCUAUAUUUGUACGGCGAUUGCGUAUAAGUCGAGGGUGGAUGAGAUGAUAUAGUGGGGGAAAAUUUACUUAGAAAUCAAGCAACAGGAUCUUCUGAUGCUCCUUAAGAUCAUUUCUUCGCCAGCUCUCGUAAUCUGCAAAAGUGAAAACAAGGAAGAAAAGUGAAAUUGAUUUUAUAAAACAGUGAUUACGUUGGAGUGCAACGCAACAAUGAGCCGCAUCUGUAUAAUUAUUCUUAUUGCAGUCUGUGCUUUAUGAACUUUUGAAGAGACUCUAUCGUGCGAGCAAUGUGGACAGAAGUGUGUCCGAAUCUGCGGUACUCGACAAUUUCGGGCCUGCUGUUUCAACAAUAUGAAAAAUAGAAAUUCUGAUUUCAUAUCUAAAUUUGAGAUGAGACUACGAAGAUAUGGAAUACAAUUCUAUCGUCCGGCUUACGAUGCUUGAUAUUAUUGAAUCUAUAUUAUCAAAUAUUCCUGCAUGAUAAUAUUCUUUUAAGUAGUCACUAUAUCUAAUAUAAUUUUUUUUCUUUUCGAUAAACGAUCUGUUAAAUGAUAUUAAAGACAUUAUAAAGCAGCACUUAUUCAGGGAUAAUUCUUUGAUUAUAAUACAUUAUAUCUUUGGUUAUCUAAUCAAUUAUUUUCACGAUAUCAAUCAAAUC